CUGAGGAGUAGUUAAAAUUCAGCUUGAGGGGCACUUAGUGUCACAGAAGCCUAGAUAAAGAAACAAGAUUUCAGGCAGGAAGAAAUAAUAAAGAGGCAGGACUUCAAGUGUCCUGUGAAACACAACAUUCGGCCUCCGGCACACACAUCCGUGGGAGACGGCUCAACUUCUUUAUAAAGUGAGGAACCAAAUUGUGAAGACAUCUGUUCUGUUAUUAAUUUCACAUACAUCUUAAGCUCCUCAAGGCCAGAAAUGAGGCUUCAUUCACGUCGAAUUAAUGAAACAUGAUUCAGCUACAUUUUCACCCCAUCCCGGGCUCCAUGUUCCUGCUGCACACACAUCAAGAAUGCUGCUAAUUUCAGCGUCUGCCUUCCAGACCCAGACGUCAAAACAACUACCUUUCAUCUCAGCAAACUACUAUGUUGUGAGCAGCCCAAUGGAGAGGCCCACAAGACAACGAACUGAAGCCUCCAGCAACAACCCUGUGAGGUCAGUUUGGAAGUGGAUUUUCUAGCCCCAAUUGAGCUUAAGAUGACUUCAGCUUCAGCAGACAGCUUGACUGCAGCCUUUCUAGAGAGCAAGCACCACCCAGCUCUGCUGCUUCUAGACCCCUGACCUCAGAAAUUGCACGAGAUAACAUGUUUGCUGUUUCAGGCUGCCAAAUUUAGGGGCUGGAACUGCCCAUAAAGGCUGGCACCCCAGCAGCCACCUUGAGAAAUGCAGUGAUGAUGCUGAGUGGCAAGGCAGAAGGCACAGGGUCCCUGCACCUGAGGAUUGCUGCUCCAAACCUGGGCCACCAGCCUGAAGAUCCCGCCAGGGAGAAAUAAAGCUCUGUUUUGCUGAAGCCACUGCUAUUUUGGGGGUCUCAUCUCUUCCAGCUGAUUCUAACCUGAAAUUGAACCUUAAUUCAAUCUGGCUGAUCCAUGAACAACCAUCACGCCUUGUGCUCUGUGUCAGAUAGGUUUCUUAAGGGAGAAUGUCACUUACUGACAGUGAUUUGUCAACACCAAAGAGGAAAAAAUAUCAGAGAAAGGUAAGAGGGAGAACAAUAGAGAGAGAAAGAGAGACAGAGACAGAGGGGGAGAGAGAGAGAGAGAGAGAGAGAGAGAGAGAGAGAGAGAGCAGACUUGGUUUAAUUUCCUCUUUUCCCUUAUUACUUUCUGACAUUUUCUGACCUUAAUACCUUUGAAACUUAGCACUUCCCUCAGAAGCCUCCACUGUAAACAAAGCCCCAAGAUUUCCCUAUAAUUUUCCCCUCCCCAUUGGCCCAUCAGUCCCCAUGGGCUUCUGCUUACCAGGAUGCCCAACUAUUCCCCUGCAAACAUCCCCCUGCCCAGUGGGCCCUAACACUCACUAGUAGCAUUGCCUUUCCCCCUCUGUUCUGCCCUCCUCCAGAGGCUCCCCAUUCUCUGGAUCUAAUGUUGUCCCAGAAGUUUACCCCUCCCUGUCCCACCCAGGCGACCUCAAAUUCUCCUAGUGGCUUCCAAUGACCCAGUUGUGCCCAGAAGCUUCUCCCUAACAGCUUAGGCUGUCACAGCCUUCCAGAGGCCUCACCCAUCUUAGUAGGGUCUAUUGCUCCUGUUCCUUAAGCCCUAGCAGUCCCUCCACCCAGUAGGCCCUGAAACUGUAAUGCAGUCCUCUCAGGCUGAGGACCUGCUCUGUGCAAAGGCCUGAGAGGGAGGUGGAGAGAAGCCAGGCAGAGGCCAGAUAUAUUAGCAGUUUUCCUAGAACAGUUGCUAAAAUAGAGCAGACAGGGGCUAUGGGAGUUGAUCAAUAGAUAUUCAUUGAACAUCUACUUUGUGCUGCGAAUGAUUUCAGUCAUGAGGGACAUAGCAGACCAUAAAACAGAACAGGGGAAGCCUUCUUUAGAAGUGGUCCUGGUAUAUUUCUGUCAAUUGACAUAUAUUCACAAAUUCACGCAUCCACUUAAUACGUAUUUAUUGAGCUCCUUCUGUAUACGAGGCACUGUUCUUGUUGCUGAAAAUACAAAACUGAACAAAACAGAAAAGCUCCUGCCCUUGGGAGCUUAUGUUCUAGUAAGGAAAUGAAAUAAACAACAAACAGCGAGUGCCUUCAGUCUUAUGUUCCCAGAAGAAGAUGCUGAGACAAGGGUUGAAGUGCAGGUAAUUUAUUAAGAAAGAGCUCCCAGGAGAUAUCCAUAAGGGCAUAGGGAAACAGGGCAAGAGAGGGGGAAGAAGCCCAGCAAAGGUGCAGCUUCCCAAAGUCCCAACCUCUGCCUGAUCCUGUGGAGAGCUCUGGGGUAUAAAUUACAUCUCAGGGUCUGUCUGUCUUUGAAGCAGGGGUGUCAGGCUUUUAUACUCCCACAUCCAUUGGCUACAGGCUGGAGGGGUGAGGGGGAGUAAAUUUUGGGUACUUUUUCUCCUCUCUGCAUGCCAUGGGGACAAAGCAGCUGCAGAGGUUCAUGGGCCAGCACAGGAAGGAAGUUCCAGGUGUGAACCUUUUAGAAGUAAAAUACGUAGGGCCAGGUGUGGUGGCUCACGGCUGUAACCCAGCAUUUUGGGAGGCCGAGGGUGGUGGAUCACCUGAGGUCAGGAAUUCAAGACCAGCCUGGCCAACAUAGUGAAACUCCAUCUCUACUAAAAAUAUAAAAAUUAACCAGGUGUUGUGGUGCAUGCCUAUAAUCCCAGCUACUUGGGAGGCUGAGGCAGGAGAAUAACUUGAACCCGGAAGGCAGAGGUUGUAGCGAACUGAGAUCAUUCCACUGCACUCCAGCCUGGGCAACAAGAGAGAAACUCUGUCCCAAAAAAGGAGAAGGAGAAGGAGAAAGAGAAGGAGGAGUAGGGGAAAAUGUGUGUAGAGGCUGGGGGUGAGCACACAGAAUAAGUAAAAGGGACCUGAGGGAUGCAUCCAUGCAAUAGAUUAUCAUAAUAUGAUGACAGGUGUGAGAAGCAUUGAGGAUUUCACCACUCCUGACCCCUCCUCCAUGCACAGGGGCAUCCGGAGGAUCUCCAUGUCUCUAUUCCCCUUACCUUGCUCUGCCCCAAGGGAGGUGACUUGGCUGAUUGAUAAGGAUUCUAGGAGGAAUAAACUGAAUGUGAGCAGCUCUGUCCUGUCCUCAUUCCUUGUCUUAUUUUGGUCUCCUUAAAGACCUAGGGUACAGAAGGAAGGGCAGUGACUGGGGGAUUCCUUAGGAAACCAGCAUUCUGAAAAAUAAUG
rnacentral:lncRNA from 10 species